rnacentral:rRNA from 1 species
AACGAACGUUGGCGGCGUGGAUUAGGCAUGCAAGUCGAACGAGAAAGGUUUCGCAAGAGACCUAGUAAAGUGGCGGAAGGGCGAGUAAUGCAUAGAUAACCUACCCCUAAAAUGGGGAUAACCUCUCGAAAGGGAGACUAAUACCCAAUAAGACCACGAGUCGCAUGACCUGUGCUCAAAGAUGGGGGACCCGCAAGGGCCUUUCGUUUAGGGAGGGGUUUAUGUCCUAUCAGCUAGUUGGUGAGGUAACGGCNCACCAAGGCGAUGACGGGUAGCCGACCUGAGAGGGUGACCGGCCGCACUGGGACUGAGACACGGCCCAGACUCCUACGGGAGGCAGCAGUGGGGAAUCUUGCGCAAUGGGCGAAAGCCUGACGCAGCGA